rnacentral:siRNA from 1 species
GGGCCGCAAACGGUGGGUCUG